UACAGAGGUCUCAAGCGUUGUUCGGAUUCAUUGGGCGUAAAGGGUGCGUAGGCGGCCUUCUAAGUCGAACGUGAAAUCCCCGGGCUCAACCCGGGAACUGCGUCCGAUACUGGAAGGCUUGAAUCCGGGAGAGGGAUGCGGAAUUCCAGGUGUAGCGGUGAAAUGCGUAGAUAUCUGGAGGAACACCGGUGGCGAAGGCGGCAUCCUGGACCGGCAUUGACGCUGAGGCGCGAAAGCUAGGGGAGCAAACGGG
rnacentral:rRNA from 1 species